rnacentral:lncRNA from 1 species
GAAAAAUUUUAACAUAGCCCAUUAUCCGAAACACCUCUGAAGGAGAUUCUAACCGGAUGAGGGGAAUAUACCAGGAUCCGGUCUCCUGAUUGUGCAUGAUUCGCACCUCCGCAUGACCACAUUGGGCACACCACAUUCGGAACCAUUUACCCGGCGGCAUUUCAUCAGGCAAUACACCUGUGACAGCACUGGAAGAAGAAACUGCAGAGAAAGAUAAAAACACAAUUCAACAAGAAGAAACGAACAGGAGCACAUCUACCAGCACAUAUUUCUCAACUAAGGCAGAAACUCCGAAGAAGAAGAAGUUAAAAGAAUGAAAUUUAAAAUUACAAGCAAAAAAUAAAAUGCUGUGCGAAAGAAUUAGACGACCGAAAAAAAAUAGAGGAUGGAAAACACAAUAAAAAAUAAGCAAGAUUCUAAGGAUCAGUUCGUUGACUAGUAAGUUGACAACUAAUAACUUGUAAAUUACUAUCUACAAAUGUGCAAUUAUUAUCUGCACAGAUUGAUACCCAAAUUAAAA